GUCUUCAGGCUUUUCCACUGGCUCACCUUUAGGCUUCUGACACUUUUACCUACGGUAUGUGAACCUCGAAAAUUUGAGACAGGUCUCAGUUAACUUAGAAAGUUUAUUUUGCCAACGUUGAGGACAUGCCCGUGACACAGCCUCAGGAAGUCCUGAGGACAUGUGCCCAAGGUGGUCAGGGCACAGCUUGGUUUUAUACAUUUUGGGGAGACAGGAGACAUCAAUCAAUAUGUAAAAAGUACAUUAGUUCCUUCCAGAAAGGCGGAGACCGUUAAAAGCAAGCCCCGCCCCCCCCAACUGGGGGCUUCCAGAUAAUGCAGUAGUUACUUUUUGAAGGACGACCGAAGCAGGAUAUUUCCCUGACCCCUUCAUGGGACCCACGUCAGAGGUGUUUACUCAGCCUGCUGCCCACAACUCCUCACAGGAGGGAGCGCACAAGUGAACGAGGGUGAGGACUGGAGAGCACCAGCACUGGAACAACCCGGCCACUUCGGCGCUACUGGGAUCAAACUCCAUCACUUGGACACACUGUGUUCCACCCCUCGUGGGAGGGAGCAUGCAGGUGAGAGGAUGCAGGAGUCAGGGUGAGCACUUUUGGGCUCCAGCAGGAGCAAACUCUGUGCAGGGCCCUGCAGCAGUGACUGAGGGGCGGCCUGUGACUCCCAAAGCCCCAGAGGACAUGCUACAGUGCUCUUUUAGCUCUACCAUCCGUAGGUGGCUUAAGUGUAAACAGCUCAGUGGGCCCUUUGCCUUUUUGCGUGAGGCAGCUGCCCUAGGCAAGAGUAAAGGGCCAGUGUCACAGCCUUCUGUAUCUGCACUCAUGACUCCUGAGCUCUUGUCCUGCAUUCAGGGAAAAUGAGGUUACACAAAAGAAUUCACAGAUGGUAAAUGCGGGGUAUUUUAUUCCCAGUGAAAGUGGCUCUCAGCAGGAAGGAGAGCAGAAAAGGGGAUGGGCUGGGUAGGUAACCUUCCCCUGAAGUCCUGCCAUCUCUGGCUGGAUUUUUCUCCAAAGUUACACCAUCAAAAUGUCCCUCUGAAAUCAAGCCACUUCUCUCUGACAUCCAGCCGUAGUCCCUCACGUCCAGUUGCUUCUCCUCUCUGCUGGCUGAGUCUGUGGUCUUUAUAGCACAGGAUGGCGGGCAGGGUGGGCCAUGGGUAAUUUAGGAAAAAGCAACAUUUGAGCAGACAAAAGGGAGAGAAGUUCUCUACUUUGGGCUGCGGUUUCAGGCUUUUUGGCUUGAGGGUGGGGUUUUGUCAGGGACCCUCCCUUUUCUGCCUAAAAUUUCUCUGCCUCCUGCCUCUAUCACUGUAUCACUAGUUUGAAGUAAACCCAUCUGGAAUUACUGAUUUUAACAAAUCACACAGAAUUUCAAGCACCUUUCUAUGCAAAUGACUUGUGAAGACAUAGAGUAUAGUAUGCCGUUAACAAACAGCCCAGCAGUGUGCCUUGCACCUUGUAGGUGUACAAAAUAUUAAGUCAAUUUUAUAAUUGAAGGAGGUAAUUUUAA
ensembl:lncRNA MOCS2-DT MOCS2 divergent transcript